AACUUCACAUACUUUAUCUUAGGCAAUCUCCCAUUUUCUUUUCACACAAAGAAAGCAAUUUAGGGAAAAACACAGAAAGAAGAAGAAGAAAGAAAAUGAAUGCUCCUCCAAAAUAUCAAAAUAUGUCAUACUAUGAACAUGUCCAAAGGCGCCAUGAAGAAAAGGGAUGCCUAUAUGCUUGUAUGUUCACGCUAUGUUGCUGCUUCUGCUGCUACGAAACUUGCGAGUGCUGCUUAAGUUCUGUCUGCUGUUGCUGCCCUUGAAGCAAACAAUUAUCAGUAAUGCAAUGUAUUUCUAUGUUACGCUGACUCUCCAAAAUGUUGCCGCAUCCGUAUUGGAUUCUUCAACCGGCAUGCACUUGACGACAUUUUCGGAGAAUCCAAGCAAUAUAGGUGUAUUUUACAAGAUUGUUAUUAGUAGUUGAUGUUUCAAUAAAACGGGAUGUUAGUAUAUUACAUAUCACUAUUGUAUCUACUAUGUUUUAUAUCCUUGUAAUUUAAAUUAUUAUUAGUUAAUGAUAAAAGUUAAACCUCUAUCAUUA